GAACGAGAAAGUGGAGCAAUCCAUGAGUAAAGUGGCGCACGGGUGAGUAACACGUGACUAACCUACCCUGAAGUGGGGGAUAACCUCGGGAAACCGGGGCUAAUACCGCAUAAUCUCGAAAGAGCAAAGGAGCAAUUCGCUUUUGGAGGGGGUCGCGGCUGAUUAGUUAGUUGGCAGGGUAACGGCCUACCAAGACGAUGAUCAGUAUCCGGCCUGAGAGGGCGCACGGACACACUGGAACUGAAACACGGUCCAGACUCCUACGGGAGGCAGCAGUGGGGAAUUUUGCGCAAUGGGGGAAACCCUGACGCAGCAACGUCGCGUGGAGGAUGAAGUCCCUUGGGACGUAAACUCCUUUCGAUCGGGACGAUUAUGACGGUACCGGAAGAAGAAGCCCCGGCUAACUUCGUG
rnacentral:rRNA from 1 species